AAUUGGAGGGCAAGUCUGGUGCCAGCAGCCGCGGUAAUUCCAGCUCCAAUAGCGUAUAUUAAAGUUGUUGCAGUUAAAAAGCUCGUAGUUGAAUUUCGGGGUUAGUAGGUUGGUCAUGCCUCUGGUAUGUACUGAUCUCACUGAUUCCUCCUUCCUUAUGAACCGUAAUGCCAUUAAUUUGGUGUUGCGGGGAAUUUGGACUGUUACUUUGAAAAAAUUAGAGUGUUUAAAGCAGGCUAACGCUUGAAUACAUUAGCAUGGAAUAAUGAAAUAGGACGUUCGAUCUUAUUUUGUUGGUUUCUAGGAUUGACGUAAUGAUUAAUAGGGACAGUCGGGGGCAUCAGUAUUCAAUUGUCAGAGGUGAAAUUCUUGGAUUUAUUGAAGACUAACUACUGCGAAAGCAUUUGCCAAGGAUGUUUUCAUUAAUCAGGAACGAAAGUUAGGGGAUCGAAGACGAUCAGAUACCGUCGUAGUCUUAACCAUAAACUAUGCCGACUAGGGAUCGGAUGAUGUUAAUUUUUUAAUGACUCAUUCGGCGCCUUACGGGAAACCAAAGUGU
rnacentral:rRNA from 1 species